ensembl:lncRNA
AUGAAUAUAAGCGGUAGGAGAAGAGACUGGAGAUGUGAACUGUCCCUCUGGAACGGGCUGCCAUUAAGUUUACUAAAAAUGUCUGAUGGUUUCACCCAGACAGUUAGGAGAGCUGUGUCUAAACGGGAUCCAGAUCUCUGGGCAGUCUCAGAGCGGAUGGCGAGGCACUGAGUGCAAGAGACCCUUAGUCCCUCUGGAGUGGCUUUGAGUGAGAGAGCCAUUUUGGGCGGGGGUGGGGAUAAGGAGGAACUCUCAUCAUCCGAUGUCCUUCUGUUAACAGUUUGAAAAGGAUAACUUAAGCAGAAGGACUCCACAAAACCUUUUGUGAAUGGUUGGAGGUUGUUUUGUUUCAUCUCUGGAUUGCACUAAACAACAGUAACAAAUGAACACAGCUAGGUACUUGUAGCAACUAUUCUGUCUCUAUAACUUCUAUUCUGUCUCUUUCUUAAAAGAAUGUUUCUUGUUCAAUACAAUUUCAGUUGAUAGCAUUGUUACAUAAUGUCGAAUGAAUGCCACAUUGCUUUCAUAAAAUAGUUAAUAUAAUACAAAAAAAUUAUGAAGUAACUUAAUAUUGUCAUAAUAUUGAGACAUAAUAUUGCCACCAAUGAAAACAGCUCUGCUUUUUUGUUGUACAUCUCUAAGCAGCACACUCUAACAUUGUUUAGUUCCUGAAUGAAGUGGUUUUAAAUGAAUUGAUUCAGUUCGAUUGAAUGAAUGAUUCAAUGACUCACCCAUUAUUACUGUGGCUGCACCCUAAAUCGUAUACUUUCCUACUAUAUAGUAGGUGAAAGUCAGUAUGCAAAAAGAGUAAUUUUCAAAUUCAUAUUCAUAAAUAAAAUAGUAGGUGAAAAGUACA